rnacentral:rRNA from 1 species
GUAGUCUGCAACCCGACUACAUGAAGCUGGAAUCGCUAGUAAUCGCGAAUCAGAAUGUCGCGGUGAAUACGUUCCCGGGUCUUGUACACACCGCCCGUCACACCAUGAGAGUUGGGAAUACCCGAAGCCUGUGAGCUAACGUAAGAGGCAGCAGUCGAAGGUAGAAUCAAUGAUUGGGGUGAAGUCGUAACAAGGUACC